UACGUGCAGCUCCUGCUCCUGCUCCGGUCCUGCCGGUGGCCGUGAUGCUGCAGGACUGCACAGAGGAACAGAGAGAGAGAGGCGGAGCUCCGGAGCUCUGGGGUUUUUCCGUGCGAUGUUUUUCUGACACUCAGAACCCUGUUUGUUCCACGGAGGUGACGGUUCUCCUCGUACCCUCACUCAUCCACAGACAGGGAGAGGAAACUGCAGUCAGAUAUUGUCUGUGAGGACAAGCUCGCCUUCCAGACACUUCAAACUGACACACUG